rnacentral:rRNA from 1 species
CUACGGGCUGCUGCAGUGAGGAAUAUUGCGCAAUGGGGGAAACCCUGACGCAGCGACGCCGCGUGGAUGAUGAAGGCCUUCGGGUCGUAAAAUCCUGUCAGAAGGAAAGAAGUGUAUGGUAGCUAAUAUCUGCCAUAUUUGACGGUACCUUCAAAGGAAGCACCGGCUAACUCCGUGCCAGCAGCCGCGGUAAUACGGAGGGUGCAAGCGUUGUUCGGAAUUACUGGGCGUAAAGCGCGCGUAGGCGGUUUUAUAAGUCAGAUGUGAAAGUCCACGGCUCAACCAUGGAAGUGCAUUUGAAACUGUAAGACUUGAGUAUUGGAGGGGGUAGUGGAAUUCCCGGUGUAGAGGUGAAAUUCGUAGAUAUCGGGAGGAAUACCGGUGGCGAAGGCGACUACCUGGCCAAAUACUGACGCUGAGGUGCGAAAGCGUGGGAGCAAACAGGAUUAGAUACCCGUGUAGUC